UGCCAGCUUGCUUGGAGUCUGUGGCUGUUACUUCAGCACAAUCGGAAGAGGGACGCCUUCACACUCCCAAGUAUUAAACGAACAUAUGGAAAUAUCUCUGUAAGAUCGUCAUCUGUGCACACUAAAUGGAGUCUGCUGUCUCCAGAGAUGGUAAAGUUGAAUUUUUAGUACAGUGCCACGUAGAGAACGUUUGGUUGAACAGAAGGAAAGAUGAGAAAAACAGGAAAAGGAUUGGGAUU
rnacentral:lncRNA from 1 species